AGACAGGGUUUCACCAUGUUGGCCAGGCUGGUCUCGAACUCCUGACCUCGUGAUCCGCCCGCUUUGGCCUCCUAAAGUCCUGGGAUUACAGGCAUGAGCCACUGUACCCAGCCAGUCUUGAUUAACUUAAUGGAAAUAUUUACAGAGAUUCUUUCUCUUCUGGGUUCUAGCGUCUUUUCUGUAACCUCUGCAGGGGAGUCACUGAGCAGAAGGAAGCUAGUUGCCUGAGAUUCCUCAAAGCCCGCAGCCCUUUUGGAGGUUACAUUGUUAUUCUCAGAGCCUUUAUGAUGCAUAAUAAAGACCUAGCUUGGACC
rnacentral:lncRNA from 1 species